UGCGUAGGCGGGUUUCUAAGUCAGAGGUGAAAGCCUGGAGCUCAACUCCAGAACUGCCUUUGAUACUGGAAGUCUUGAGUAUGGCAGAGGUGAGUGGAACUGCGAGUGUAGAGGUGAAAUUCGUAGAUAUUCGCAAGAACACCAGUGGCGAAGGCGGCUCACUGGGCCAUUACUGACGCUGAGGCAAAGACUGGGGAGCAAACA
rnacentral:rRNA from 1 species